ACACAGGGAGCCUGCAGUGCUGAGGCCUCAUGGGAGACAAUGGGCUCACCCUGCUCAGGGGAUAGGUGGAGACACACAAUGGAAUCUUUCAGGGAGUGGGAAAAUCAGAAGAUCAAGGAGGCUUCUGAGUCAUCUUGGCUGAUGAUUUCCUGGUGUUGGAGAGCAAAGAUGCAACUGAGAGAGAAAGAGGAUCUGGAGGCACAAUGAUCAGCACAGGCUUGCAAAUCUCCCUGACUGAAUUUGCAGAUGGUGGACAGACGAAGGCCUGAACAUGCAUCCGACAGCUGGCCUUCCCCCGAUGCAUCUGGAGCAGGUCACAUUCCCGGCUCUCAGGUCAGCACAGUGGGCUGGAGAGGAGAGAGCGGAGCUACUUCGCUGGAGACUCAGAAUCACUUCUCUUUCAGCCGCCACACCCUCUUCAAGAUCGGGGGAACUUCCCAGAAACAAGCCCAAGCUCUUUCUCUAAUAAUUUAAAGUAGGACACAAAUCUCAAGCCGAAGGGAGGUGGCACGGAACCAGGAUGAGGGUCAAAGCACAGCUCGUCUUUCCAGGCAUGUGUGAGAAGGACAGUGAUCUAAAGGAGGUUGGCACUGCUUCCAUCCCCACUGGACACGCUGACACCAAAGCUUAGGGUAAGGGGACUUGCCCAUGGCCACAUAGAU